UCCACCCAUAGCGUUGACCUUUCCAUUUUUAAGAACUCCCAGACUCUUCUGGACUUUUCUGCUCCAUCAUCUUGCAUUCCCAAUCUCGUCCGCACUCCAUGGGGAUCGAACUCCUGGUAUUCAUACAAACUUUCCAACCAUCAGACUUUGAAGAGUCUUCUUGAUUAAUUUUCCAGGACCGUCGUCGUAAUCCUUCACUGCCUUUUCAUCGUUCAAC
rnacentral:lncRNA from 1 species